rnacentral:rRNA from 1 species
GUGGGGAAUAUUGCACAAUGGGCGAAAGCCUGAUGCAGCAACGCCGCGUGAAGGAAGAAGGCCCUUGGGUCGUAAACUUCUGUUCUAAGGGAAGAUAAUGACGGUACCUUAGGAGCAAGUCCCGGCUAACUACGUGCCAGCAGCCGCGGUAAUACGUAGGGGGCGAGCGUUAUCCGGAAUUAUUGGGCGUAAAGAGUACGUAGGUGGUUAUCUAAGCGAGGGGUUUAAGGCAAUAGCUUAACUAUUGUUUGCCACGCGAACUGGGUGACUUGAGUGCUUGAGAGGAAAGUGGAAUUCCUAGUGUAGCGGUUAAAUGCGUAGAUAUUAGGAGGAACAUCAGUGGCGAAGGCGGCUUUCUGGACAGUAACUGACACUGAGGUACGAAAGUGUGGGGAGCAAACAGGAUUAGAUACCCCAGUAGUCC